CUUAUACUCCCUCCAUCCGAAAAAGCUUGUCUCUCAAAUGGAUGUAUCUAGCACCAAAUUAGUGCUAGAUACAUCCAUUUCAGGAACAAGCUUGGGACAAGCUUUUUCGGACGGAGGGAGUAUGAG
rfam:Triticum urartu cultivar G1812 contig1004045, whole genome shotgun sequence.